UGCAAAACAUCAGAGAUCUGCGUCGUAGGGAGGCUUCCUACACCGAAAACCUCGCUGCGCGAGGCAGAGCAGCGGUGACUUCUCUUCUCCAGCUUCUAAAAUCUGGAACCUUUCCACGUAAAUUCUGGCUGUCCUUGCUCCAAGAAUCGAUGGAGCUGCUGGAAUGGCCGGAGCAAGUGCUGGUUAGCGAGUCCGAAACAAACACUCUACUCUGCUGCCUCCAGGAACUCUUCCUCGCCAGGGACCGCCUAGAGAACGACAUCCUAGGCACCGCAGAGCCUGGCGCUGUGGAUCGCCUGAGAUUGGCGCUGGCAUCCAACUUGGGCCGUGCCAUCUUGCAAAGCUGAUCGUUUCUACGAAGGUAGGAAGGAUUUCUUCUUGAACUGUACAAUUCAGAAGCGUGAGUCUAAUUAAGCAAAUAGUUUGACCGUAAAA